rnacentral:lncRNA from 1 species
UCCUCGUGGCUGCGGUUACUACCGAUUGCGAUUGCGGAAUGCAACAAGAAAAAAAAAAAAUGAAGCUUGAAGUGCUUUUUACAGUUGUCAGGAUGAUAAAAUUUCCAGAGGAUACAAAAUAUUUUACCUGCAUUUUCUGCAUUUGUAGAGAAUGUCAUCUUUUAAUCCCUGUGAAAUGGUAGUUGGGUCAACAGCGAAGAGUUCCUGAGGUAAAUUCCAAAGUUCUACAAGAUAAUUGAAAUGCAUCCAACAGUCAGGAUUAAGCUUCUAAACUUUCAGAUAAACUCCCAAUGCCAAACUGAGGCGAUGCAUGCGAAACUCGGAAACUAAAAGCAAAAAUCUCCAGGUUGCAAAAUGAGGUACGAAAGCAAAGCAAGCAAGCCUUCACUCUAGACGGGGUGCCUGAUUUCAGUCCCAGCCAUUUUCAAACCCCGUGACUUUCUGCUCAACAAAAGGAACCACAAGUCUCUGCCUCCUAGGAAUUCUUGGAAAGUGACAGAAUGCAUUUAGUGUCCAAGAAAAUGACACCUCGGAAGAGUCCAGUCAUACCCGUACCCAGUAUCUACUCACUUGGACACUUCUCAGUCACCUUUUGUAAACGGUACUGCUUGUAAAAGGCACUGGACGUAUCGACUUCGUAUCCCAUUGCCUCAUACAGUUUCAGUUGCCAUUCAAACCCCUCAUUCACUCUGCAAUGAUAAGCAAGUAUGAAGUUUGGAUUCUUUCGAUUAAGAAGACAUGAAGAAAGGAGAAGUGCUUACAGCCAAAAAGGAAGACCCUAAGUUGGCCUUUGGCCAAUGGAAGUGCAGGGACACACACCAUACACACAUACAUGUGCACACACACAUAUACCAUACACACAAACACACGCUCAAAGAGGAAAAAGCAUUACUGGGACUCCAGAGGACUCACUUAGCCUCUGGCUUGACCGUCCGGAGGAUGUCGUAGGCUUUUUCAAAGGUAAGCUGGUCGGUCUUCAUUAUAAAAGCCAUCACUACAGCAACACUGCGACUGACUCCUGCAUGACUGAAAAAGAGACCUUCAAAAUAAAACGGCAAAUAGCAGCAAUUAAAAACCACGCCAGGCUGGGCAUGGUGGCACACGCCUUUAAUCCCAGCAUUUGGGAGGCAGAGGCAGGCAGAUCUCUGUGAGUUCGAGGCCAGCCUGGUCUACACAGUGAGUCCAGAGUGACCAGGGCUACACAGAGAAACCCUAUCUCAAUCAAUCAAUCAGUAAACAAAAGACAAAGCCCAGCUGCCUGCUAAUGGUAAAGUUUAGGUCCACCUCACUUCUGAGUCAUGACAAUCCCCGAGUGCUGGGAUUGCAGGUGAGGUGCAGUGUGCCCAGCUCAUUUCUACUUCCAUUCAAGUUAGCCCACUGCCUCUUACAUACGGUCAACACACGAAAGGAGUCAAUUGUUGCCUUUUUCCUUUUUAAUUCUGAACAAUAUGGAUGCAUUAUCUAUUCAACAAGAACUGCCUUAAAUGUUUUAACUGUUGUCAUGGCUCCUUGGCUCUGAACUUCAAGUUGUUCCAGAUCUGAUUCCGCACUUCUUAUCACUACCUCCUGUCCUCGUGUGAAUCUUUAGAACUGCUGGCACACAGACAGCGUCCAACAAAGAGGCUCUGUCGGACUCCAACAGGACCGCUCUGGAAUCCCCAAACACCUACUAAGAUUUCCUAGCCUUGUGGUUUUGCUGCAAUAUACCUGUCAAUGUCCUAGACAAGUCCCAUGAAUCCUUCAUAUCCCAAUAACCCCGUUUACCAGACACUCUCUCUCAGCCCAGACAGAGCAUUUAAAAAAAAAAUCUUCUUGGGACUGGGGGUCCAUCUGGUAGACAAGCACUUCACUUGCUCAUGUGAAGCCCCAGGAUUUAAUCUCAACACUUCCCAAAAAAAGGAAAUAGAAUCUGGGCUGACUGCAGUCUUGAGAACUGAGUUAGCAGGCAUCGGAGUUAGCAGGCAUCAGAGUAUACCAGUUACUUCAAAUUAGCAGCAGGUGAAGGCAGGCUUUAUCUUCUUUGUUGCUUAAAGUCCAAGAAGCAACAAAGAUGACAGAAGUUACUUCAGGUCCCUUCCCUGACUUUUCAUUAAUUAUAUUCAAAGAGCAGGGAAAAGCCAAGUUUGUCGCCACACCACAGCUGACUGUCACACUCGGCUGUCUUCUAUGCUGACCCAACUCAGUAUUCCAAAAACAAUCAUUUGUGAUUGUUUCACUGUUGCACAGGCUCGAAGGAUCUUGUCGGUCCCUCCCUGUCCACUGAAAACCCACCUACUGUUCCUCCCAAAUCUGCUGACUUUCCCCACUACCCCUGCUCCUAAUGAAAAGGGAUCUAUAAUUCUGAA